UUUAAUUCGCAUGUUCAAUAAUUAAUAGUGUAGUAUAUAAUAAAACAAUAAUCUUUUUAUUAUAAAUUAUUAUUUUGUCAUGAUUUUUCAAAUCAUCUACCAUAACUAAUCAUCAAAUGUGAAACAUGUUUUUCAAAUCUCGUAACUUUUACUUGUUACCGGGAAAUGGACAGAUUUGACGGUAGUGAUGCAUGUGUUGGAGAAUUACAUCGAUAAUUGUGCAUAAUAUAUUCAUAAAAACAUAUCGUUAAUUUGCGUGAAAUCGAAAUAUAAUUUCGACUCACCGAGAUAGGAUUUGAGAAAACAAAAUAAGAAUUUAUCGAAUCCGAAUACCUAAAUAUGGAUUAUUCCCUUUCAAUUCAUGAUCGAAAGCAAGUAAUUCUUUGGAUCAAACCUUGAAGGAUAAAUAUAUAAAUAAUGAUAAUCAUUUUCGAAAAUCAAAUCAUAAUAAAAGGAAUCAGAAAAUGAAGAAAGAAGAUACAAAUGAUGGAUUUUUGAUCGAGGCAAGUGUUGGAUACUUUAUCCUUAAGAUGAAUUUGCCCCGCAUCAGUGCUAACGGUUCUCCGGCAAUCAUUUCCUAAGAUACAACGAUCACGUCGAGCCAUAGGAGCACUCCAAAUGACUUCG
rnacentral:lncRNA from 1 species